AGUGGGGAAUAUUGGACAAUGGGCGAAAGCCUGAUCCAGCCAUGCCGCGUGUGUGAAGAAGGUCUUCGGAUUGUAAAGCACUUUAAGUUGGGAGGAAGGGUACUUACCUAAUACGUGGGUAUUUUGACGUUACCGACAGAAUAAGCACCGGCUAACUCUGUGCCAGCAGCCGCGGUAAUACAGAGGGUGCAAGCGUUAAUCGGAAUUACUGGGCGUAAAGCGCGCGUAGGUGGUUUGUUAAGUUGGAUGUGAAAUCCCCGGGCUCAACCUGGGAACUGCAUCCAAAACUGGCAAGCUAGAGUAUGGUAGAGGGUGGUGGAAUUUCCUGUGUAGCGGUGAAAUGCGUAGAUAUAGGAAGGAACACCAGUGGCGAAGGCGACCACCUGGACUGAUACUGACACUGAGGUGCGAAAGCGUGGGGAGCAAA
rnacentral:rRNA from 1 species